rnacentral:lncRNA from 1 species
AUGAGUGUGAAUAUGUCCGCUAAUUUAUGACGUCAUGUUGGUUGCAAGCUCUUCAAAAUGGUUGAAUAUCACUGCUAUCAUCCAAGAUGAUAAUUUCAAACAUCACUCACUGGUAAAUGUGAUGAAACAUUGGAGAAAAACGUAAACUGAUAUCAACAGUUUUUAGAGUUAAUACAUUUAAAACCAGUGUAAGUUGAGCUUGCAACCAACAUGACGUCAUAAAUUAGCUGACAUAUUCACACUCAUUUACAUAUCAAA